AUUGAACGCUGUCGGCCGGCCUAACACAUGCAAGUCGCGCGGAGCGGCGGCCGGGUGCGUAAUGCCUAGGAAUCUGCCUGGUAGUGGUGGAUAACGUCCGGCAACGGGCGCUCAUACCGCAUACUAUCAGAUGAGCCUAUGUCGGAUUAGCUAGUUGGUGGGUUAAAGGCCUACAAAGGCGACGAACCGUAACUGGUCUGAGCGGAUGGUCAGUCACACUGGAACGGAGACACGGUCCAGACUCCUACGGGAGGCAGAAGUGGGGAAUAUGGGACAAUGGGCGAAAGACGGAUCCAGCCAUGCCGCGUGUGUGAAGAAGGUCUUCGGAUUGUAAAGCACUUUAAGUUGGGAGGCGUGACCAACAGAAUAAGCACCGGCUAACUUCGUGCCAGCAGCCGCGGUAAUAC
rnacentral:rRNA from 1 species